rnacentral:rRNA from 1 species
AUGGCCAAGGAAAAAUAAGUUAGAAUGAGAGUUAUUUUGAAAUGCAUCAGUUGUGUUCGAAAAGGUGCCAAUGAAGAAUCAACGGGGAUUUCCAGAUAUAGCACUCAAAAGAAUCGCCAGAAUACACCCUGACAAUUAGAAUUGAAAAAUAAAUUGUAG